rnacentral:rRNA from 1 species
AUGCACGCUGGCGGCGUGCCUCAUCCAUGCAAGUCGAGCGAACAGAUGAGGAGCUUGCUCCUCUGACGUUAGCGGCGGACGGGUGAGUAACACGUGGAUAACCUACCUAUAAGACUGGGAUAACUUCGGGAAGCCGGAGCUAAUACCGGAUAAUAUAUUGAACCGCAUGGUUCAAUAGUGAAAGACGGUUUUGCUGUCACUUAUAGAUGGAUCCGCGCCGCAUUAGCUAGUUGGUAAGGUAACGGCUUACCAAGGCAACGAUGCGUAGCCGACCUGAGAGGGUGAUCGGCCACACUGGAACUGAGACACGGUCCAGACUCCUACGGGAGGCAGCAGUAGGGAAUCUUCCGCAAUGGGCGAAAGCCUGACGGAGCAACGCCGCGUGAGUGAUGAAGGUCUUCGGAUCGUAAAACUCUGUUAUUAGGGAAGAACAAAUGUGUAAGUAACUAUGCACGUCUUGACGGUACCUAAUCAGAAAGCCACGGCUAACUACGUG